CUGGAUGGUUCUUCAUGUCUACCUAAUGGCACAUGGACGUUUUGUGGUGAGGUGGGGUUUGACUUCUUUUCCCAGGCUCAGAGGACAACCAGGUUCCCACUUCAUCCUCAUAACCCAGUUUGUAAAGGGCCAUGAAGGUCUCAUGCUGCCAUCCCAGCUAAGACAUGGCAGAGAUGAAGAAGAAUGUGUUGGGUUAGGAUGUCGAGGACCACAUUGGUAGUCAAACUGGUGCACUUACUGGGCGUUUUGUUCCUCAAGAUGAGGUUUUGGAUCUAACACAAAUGGCCAAGAAGGAUUUCAGAGGGGAGUGUGUAUUUUUGUUGGACAUGGUGGAUAGUGAUCUCAGUGGAGCUUUUGCUGGAACCCUCCUGCUGCCUUAAUGCUGUUGGGUUUGUGGCAUCCCCAGCGCUGCAUGGGAGCUUUUAGACCUACCUGGAGCCUUGUGUUGAAGCUGACCUCGGCAGGCCUGGUUUCUGGGGAGAUACGAAGACGUGAAAUCACAAUGCUGAAUGGGGCUUUGUAACCACAAAGGAGACAAGGUGGAAAAGGCAGUGAGCAUGAGGUCUGCUCAUCAGGAAAGAGAAGGACCUUCCCGUUGAGGAUAAAGGAUGCCAAAAGAGGAGGAAAGACUGUUAAGCUGUAAAUGAAUAAGCAGCAGGAAUACAACAUAUCAAGGGGACAGCCACUACACAUCUGGCACAUGGAAAUUCUGCACGCCCCAUUGCCUGGCCCCAGUGGGUUAAAUGGUGCACGUGGCUGCAAAGUGUUUGAGCUGGCGCAUCUCUAAGCACCAUAAACAUGGGGGAGAACAGUUUCUAAAAUAGCAUCUUUCAUGUUCAUGAAAAAAUGUUCUCAUGUGCUCUGCUGGCUGAGACCACUGUUACGAAACAAAAUGCUUCCCAUCAGCAGUCAUAAGGGCUUGAGCCUCAGCUAGGGUGCUGCUUGAUACAAAAAGAGCAGUUAACGAGAGCAGAACAAGACCAGAAUAGAAAAGUCAGCAAAGUUGUUAUUUUCCUAAUUAAAAAAACGCAUCCUAAACCUCUAACUGUGCCAGAACACUCACACUCCUUCUGUUGGAUAGGAGCCCUGGCAGCACUUUCGUGCAGAUCUCAACCUCCAGCCCCCACGUGGGGACAGGAGUGACACACAGGGGACAAUCACAGAUGUCUCCAUGCAGCUAUG